rnacentral:rRNA from 1 species
GACGAACGCUGGCGGCGUGCUUAACACAUGCAAGUCGAACGGAAAGGCCCUGCUUUUGUGGGGUGCUCGAGUGGCGAACGCGUGAGUAACACGUGUGUAACCUGCCCUUGACUUUGGGAUAACUUCAGGAGACUGGGGCUAAUACCGGAUAGGAGCUCCUGCUGCAUGGUGGGGGUUGGAAAGUUUCGGCGGUUGGGGAUGGACUCGCGGCUUAUGAGCUUGUUGGUGGGGUAGUGGCUUACCAAGGCUUUGACGGGUAGCCGGCCUGAGAGGGUGACCGGGCACAUGGGUACUGAGAGAGGGCGCAGACGCGUACGGGAGGCAGCAGGGGGGAAUAUUGCACAAUGGGCGGAAGCCUGAUGCAGAGACGCCGCGUGCGGGAUGACGGCCUUCGGGUUGUAAACCGCUUUCGCCUGUGACGAAGCGGGAGUGACGGUAAUGAAUAAAGAAGCACCGGCUAACUACGUG